UGCCAGCUCCUUAUUCCUCGCGCUGUCAUCUGAGCGGUGUUUAUAUCUGCCGGGCCUGACCGCAGCAUGGCAGGCACUCCCACGAGCCGGCUGACGCCACAGGUUCACGCAGCAGUCAUCGUAUUGCCCAAAUUCACAUCAGAUUCCGGUUUGGAUCGGAGGGAGGACGCGUAAGAAAGUCAUACAGUUUUGGAGUGACCUAUGCGAUUCGAAGCCUUCAGAAGCACCUGUCCUCGGCUCGUCAAACUUUCCGUCUCUGGACUCAAGCUGCUCAAAGUGCACGUACCACCCGAGGGGACGUCACGCCGCGUGGCCUCCAGUUCAGAACUCCGUAAUCACGAGUGUCCAAAUUCAAUCACGCCCGAGCACCAUCCAUGUUCCC